CUUGGGAAUAGCACCUUUAAAAAGCCAACAUGAACGGAGGAUUGGAAAGAGCGAAAGAGUAAUACAUCAGAAGUAGAUGUUUGCAGUGUGCUGAGUUUGACCAAAAUCAAAGCCGAAGCUGUCUAUUGGACGGGUAAAGUUUCUGCUACAAGGCGUUUUGGAAACCACAGAAGGGAAGAGCAUGACACCAGUUCUCCCCGAAAGAUCAAAGGGAGAUUCCGAUGCAGGUCUCCAGGCCGCUGAGUAAAGCGUCGCCUAACUUGCCCUCCAUUGAUCCCCAGGAUGUAAAGCUCUACUUGGCGUCUUGGACAGCGAGAUUGGCUGUGGGAAGCUUCCCUUCCGCUGUCUGGUGCUUAGAGGCCGGGCACAUAGAGACGUCUCUCUGAGCUCUUGACCUUUGUGGGUUUGGAAUAACAGGCAGGAAGAUGCCCCGAAGGGAGCAUUUGGAGAGAGAGAAGCAGGACCCCGGGAGGCGUCAAUGUCCUUGCCGUGGCACCAUCAUGUCUUUGCUCCAUGGAGAAGAGAUGAAAACGGGAGCCUCUUUGCUGCAAAGCCGAUGAGGCCAAGCUCCCAAAGCGAGAAGCAAAACAUAGGCAAGGAGCAGCAUCUCUCACCCCGGCAGGAUCCUGCUAGGAUCACGAUGGGAUGCACAUCAGCCGAGAUCGUCCACCUGGAGAGCUGUGACUCCAUGGCACCAACUGUGGGUGGCAGGCCCACUGGGUGAGCACCAGAGGAAAUGAAGAAGUGGAAUUCUCUCAUGGGACUUGUACAUUGAGUGCAAAUAAACAGAAGACAGUCAGUGCCAACACAUCUGAUGGUGGCACCUAAUGGGAAGUCCACAGGACCCCCUGCAGAGAUUCCUAGAGCUGCCCUAAUCCCUCCCUUUCCCGAGCACUGGUUUUUCUGAUUUUCUCAAUUUUUUAAUAAGUUAGAAGUCAUUCCUGUGGCUUGCAGAAUAGAACCUAAACUGACACUGGGUACCACCUUCUGGAAGAGAAGCAAUGGCCUUAAGAUUCUUCAGAAAGAGAGAGAUUUCCUGAGUAAUGGAUCUUUAACCCCUGAUCUAGUUUGGUGAAUAUGGACAGUUCAUGGUGACCUUAAUUCUUGAUUGUGGCAGGAAGCACCAGUAAGCUAUGCCACUCAGGAAGACCUGACCGGGUUCCGGUGGAGAAGCAUUUUAAUCCAGCCACAUGCUGAGGCUUGUGAAGGUUUUCCUUUUGGUUGACCAUAAAAAGAGCCCCAGUGGGAACAACAUCUUCCCAGGUCCCAAAAAUAUAAACAGGGGUCUCCCAGACUUCAAAUCCACCCUUUCAGACAUGGGUGUUUUCACGUCUCCGCAUCUGUGGCAAAGGGAAGGGGCUCAGAACUGGAAGUUACCAGACAGGAUUAUCUCCAGCUUGGCCAGUUGUUUGGUGAGAAUUGCUCUUGGGAAACUUCUCUUCCUUAUCUUUGGAGAAAGGCCAAGGUCAGAGGCAAAAACAAAGUCUGAUGCAGAUUGCUAUCUCCAUUUUCUUGGAACCAACCCUCUCGUUUUCCAAGGCUGGAAAAGAGGAAGAGAACAUCGCUGGAGGAAAGAGACAGAAAAGGGAAGGCGAGCUCAGCCCCCUCGCCAGCCUGGCUGUGCCGAGUUCCUGGAGCAUCACAGGACUCUGCUAGUGCUUGUGGGUUUCUGAUCCUCUUGCCCAUGUUUUGGGGAAAUUUUCUGUACUUUUAGCCAGACUCCAGGCUUGGUUUGGCAUCACCCAGGAUCCCAGAUCGGGAGUCCCAAUCCCUGCACCUCCUUCUUCCGCCUCAGGUCAUUACUCUUCCCCAGCCGCAGGCUAUGCAGUGAAUGAGCUUCUUAGAUCCAAUUUGUCUAGGACUCUGACACCCAUCAGCUCUUUUCAGGUUCCUUUUUAUGCUCUCCCGAUUUGUGCUUCCAGGAGCUAAAUUCUUGACCAUGGUCACUUCUUACCUAGACCCUUCCUACCCUAUUGAGCGCUCUGGUCUAAAUGAUCCUGCAGUUCCCAGGGUCCUGGAUCCACCCCAGACCUGACAUCAAUGUCUGAAGGAGACUUUUUC
rnacentral:lncRNA from 1 species